CCUACGGGUGGCAGCAGUCGAGAAUCUUUCACAAUGGGGGAAACCCUGAUGGUGCGACGCCGCGUGGGGGAAUGAAGGUCUUCGGAUUGUAAACCCCUGUCAUGUGGGAGCAAAUUAAAAAGAUAGUCCCACAAGAGGAAGAGACGGCUAACUCUGUUCCAGCAGCCGCGGUAAUACAGAGGUCGCAAGCGUGUUUCGGAGUCACUGGGCGUAAGGCGUGCGUAGGCUGUUUCGUAAGUCGUGUGUGAAAGGCGCGGGCUCAACCCGCGGACGGCACAUGAUACUGCGAGACUAGAGUGAGGGAGGGGGAAGCGGAAUGCUCGGUGUAGCAGUGAAAUGCGUAGAUAUCGAGAGGAACACUCGUGGCGAAGGCGGGUUCCUGGACAUUAACUGACGCUGAGGCACGAAGGCCAGGGGAGCGAAAGGGAUUAGAUACCCCUGUAGUC
rnacentral:rRNA from 1 species